UACGUAGGGGGCUAGCGUUGUCCGGAAUCAUUGGGCGUAAAGCGCGUGUAGGCGGUCCGGUAAGUCCGCUGUGAAAGUCGGGGGCUCAACCCUCGGAUGCCGGUGGAUACUGUCGGGCUAGAGUGCGGAAGAGGCGAGUGGAACUCCUGGUGUAGCGGUGAAAUGCGCAGAUAUCAGGAGGAACACCGAUGGCGAAGGCAGCUCGCUGGGACGGUACUGACGCUGAGGCGACGAAGCGUGGGGAGCAAACAGG
rnacentral:rRNA from 1 species